AUGCCUUACACAUGCAAGUCAUACGAGAAUUUUUAAUUCAAGUGGCGGACGGGUGAGUAACACGUAAGAAUUUGCCUUUAGGAGGGGGACAACAACUGGAAACGGUUGCUAAUACCCCAUAUGCUUUCGAGUGAAACGGAUUUUUCCGCCUAGAGAGAAGCUUGCGGCUGAUUAGCCUGUUGGUGAGGUAAUGGCUCACCAAGGCGACGAUCAGUAUCUGGUUUGAGAGGAUGAUCAGACACACUGGAACUGAGACACGGUCCAGACUCCUACGGGAGGCAGCAGUGGGGAAUUUUCCGCAAUGGGCGAAAGCCUGACGGAGCAAUCUCGCGUGAGGGAUGACGGCCUAUGGGUUGUAAACCUCUUUUUUCAGGGAGGAAUAAAUGACGUGUACCUGAAGAAUAAGCAUCGGCUAACUCCGUGCCAGCAGCCGCGGUAAGACGGAGGAUGCAAGUGUUAUCCGGAAUCACUGGGCGUAAAGCGUCUGUAGGUGGUUUGAUAAGUCAACUGUUAAAUCUUGAAGCUCAACUUCAAAAUCGCAGACGAAACUAUUAGACUAGAGUAUAGUAGGGGUAAAGGGAAUUUCCAGUGGAGCGGUGAAAUGCGCAGAUAUUGGAAAGACACCCGAUGGCGAAGCACUUUACUGGGCUAUACUGACACUCAGAGACGAAAACUAGGGUAGCAGAUGGGAUUAAAUACCCAGUAGUCCUAGCUGUAAACCAUGGAUACUAAAUGUUGAACAGAUCGACCUGUCNGUAUUAAACUAACCCGUUAAGU
rnacentral:rRNA from 1 species